GCUUUGGUUAAAAAUGCUCACAGUGAUUCAUGUUUUUCAUUUUUUUUAAAUAAUGUAUUCUGUAUUAUCAAACAGUUGUUGCUGUUGUUGUUGUUGUUGUUGUUGUUGUUGUUGUUGUUGUUAUGUUUAGUGUAUUUAUUAUGUUUAUUAUAUUUAUUUAUAUCCCUCUUUUUCUCUACACAAGGAGACUCAAAGCAGCUUCCAUGGACAGUCAACUAAAAGGUUUUUCUGACCUCUGCCGUUACGUAGCUUCAAAUCAACUCUGACUUGUGGCAACCGUAUUCUAGAGUUUUCCUGACCACUUUAUCAGGCUGGCCUCUAUGCGUGUGUGCCUUCACGUUACCUGUUGAUUAUGGCAACUCCGUGAAUUUCAUAAGGUUUUCUUAGGCAAGGAAUCCUCCAAGAUAUGAAAUAAAAUAAUUAAUGAAAUGGAUCAACUUGGCACAUGCAUUUUCUGCUUAUUUCUUUCUGCACAGCCCAUCCCAUAAUUCAGAGAUCAAUUUGGAUGAAGAUUAGAAGUAGUCUAGUUUUAAGAAUACCUAAAUUUGAAGCAGUAUUUGCAAUGAAAGAGACUCGGGGCAAUUAUCAUGGUGCCAAGCCCAAAGAACAAGUAAUGAGCAAAGUAAAAUGCACAUAAAAAACCCAGCAUCUUUAAACUGAUAAAAACACACUAAAACCAAGGUUGGCAGAAGCUGGAGCUAACAGCGGGCGCUCACUCCACUCCCCGGGUUUGAACCUGGGACCUUUCGGUCUGCAAGUUCAGCAGCUCAGCGCUUUAACAAACUGUGCCACCAGAGGCUCCUAAAAACCAAGGUAAUACAAUAUAAUAACAAUAAAUAACAUUAAGAAAUAAAAGGUAACAUGAAAGGAUCACCAUUUAGUAACAAAGUGAAUAAAAUGAGAGGGCGGUCUAGGCAAAAGUGCAAAAAAUGCAUUGUAAUGCCAUUUGAGAACGUAAAUGGACAAAGUGCUAAACAUUCUCUAAGAGAAUUAGAGUGAGGUAGGAAUUCAAGUUAGUUCAAACACAGAGCAGCAUAAAGUGUGAAAUAUAGUGAUACAGUAUAUAGUAAAACCUGUUCUUUGAGCUGCUAACUCACCAGCCUUCCUGGCAUAAUGGAUUUCCCUAAGUGCUGAGUCGGCUACCGGUGAAAUCUCUUCAAUAAAGUACUUUUUUGUUUUUUAACCUGAAGUACUGUUCACACAUUUUUAUUUUUUUGCUGUUGUUUAUCUAUAUUUCUCAGCAUCAAAAAUGACAUUGGGCUGUGAAUCUUUGAUCCUCUCCACUAAUCAGCAAACUCCUGUUGGUUGGCAGAGAUUUUGAUAAUUCAUCAUUUUAGCUCACCUUGCCUGUCACUAACAGAUGGAUAAUUAUUCAGUUCCAGAAAGAAAAUCCUUUUAUGCUAGUUGCAGUAGAGGGCUAUAUUUCAGAUGCUAUUUCUUUCCUGAGUCACUUGUAUCAACACAUAUAAAUGCUUCUCAUUAGUGGAACAAGAUUACUGGUCUUUAAUUUCAUAGAGGCGGUGUUUGGUGAACAUUUGUAUGAAGAGUCGAGAUUAAUCCAGUUUUAACAUCACAUCUAACAAGACUAUUUCACCUUUCUCCCAAGACAAAUUAACACAUAUACUUUACAAUCACUCUUCUUUGUUCCGACACACUGCUCUUUAGGAAGCAGAAAAGCACAUUUGCAAAUUGGUUGAACUGUAUGACUUUGUAGCUUGGAAGACAAGUCAGUAGUUUCCCAAGUGAAUACACGCUUGUUAAGA
rnacentral:lncRNA from 1 species